CUUAUCAAGAGUGGUUGAGGGACCGGCCCUAUGAAACCACGGCAACCUGCCUCUGGCAAGGUGCCAAAUCCGGCGGUAGAGUAUCGCAAGAUGAG
rnacentral:ncRNA from 1 species